rfam:Felis catus isolate Cinnamon breed Abyssinian chromosome C1, whole genome shotgun sequence.
GCCUGGGUGGCUCAGUUGGUAGAGCGUCUGACUUUGGCUCAGGUCAUGAUCUUGUGGUUUGUGGGUUCGAAUCCCAAGUCGGGCU